CUUGAACGCUGGCGGCCGGCCUAACACAUGCAAGUCGAACGAGUGGCGGACGGGUGAGUAAUGUCUGGGAAACUGCCUGAUGGAGGGGGAUAACUACUGGAAACGGUAGCUAAUACCGCAUCCCAUCGGAUGUGCCCAGAUGGGAUUAGCUAGUCGGUGGGGUAAAGGCUCACAGAGGCGACGAUCCCUAGCUGGUCUGAGAGGAGGACCAGCCAAACGGGAAAUGAGACACGGUCCAGACUCCUACGGGAGGCAGCAGUGGGGAAUAUUGGAAAAGGGGCGCAAGCCUGAGGCAGCCAUGCCGCGUGUAUGAAGAAGGCCCUAGGGUUGUAAAGUACUUUCAGUCGGGAGGCGUGACCGACAGAAGAAGCACCGGCUAACUCCGUGCCAGCAGCCGCGGUAAUUC
rnacentral:rRNA from 1 species